GAUGAAGAACGCAGCGAAAUGCGAUACGUAAUGUGAAUUGCAAAUUCAGUGAAUCAUCGAGUCUUUGAACGCACAUUGCGCCCCCUGGUAUUCCGGGGGGCAUGCCUGUCCGAGCGUCAUUGCUGCCCUCAAGCACGGCUUGUGUGUUGGGCCCCAUCCUCCGAUCCCGGGGGACGGGCCCGAAAGGCAGCGGCGGCACCGCGUCCGGUCCUCGAGCGUAUGGGGCUUUGUCACCCGCUCUGUAGGCCCGGCCGGCGCUUGCCGAUCAACCCAAAUUUUUAUCCAGGUUGACCUCGGAUCAGGUAGGGAUACCCGCUGAACUUAAGCAUAUCAAUAAGCGGAGGA
rnacentral:misc_RNA from 1 species